UAAGAUAAACCAGGCUGCUAUCUCAACCCUCCGUGUGUACUCUGUACAUGAUGUCUCUCUCACCGCUGAGAAAAGCUAUGCGUAACAACAGGAAACUGAUCACAGAUCCCAACAUCAGCCCCGGUGACUAAGAGAAUGGAUCUUUCAAGCCAACAACCCAACAGUAAAGUUCUAAAAUUACACCACCCAAGUCCCCUACUGUUUCCUUCUUUUGGACAAAAGCAAAUAUUGACCAGGUGCCAGCCUCGAGCCAUUUGAGGCAAAGGCAGCCGUUGCGAUGGGCAAAGCCACAGCCUGGCCACACCGGGCCAGGCUCCACGUCCAAACCCGCUUGCAUCGUAGAAUUUUGAAAUUAACAAGUCACCAGACCACACACCAAGCAAGGAGUAAUCACUUCACAGAGAGAAAAUAACUAUGUUUAAAAUGAAAGCAAGAUCAACACUGGCCUAAAUGCUGGUAAAAUGACCUUGAGGGAUGUUCCAAAUUGAAAUGGAUCAAAUUAGUUUUCAAUCCACUCUAAAAUAUGAAAUGUCAAAAAUAAAAAUAUGCUGAUGAGGUUCAGCGCGCUGAAGUUUUAAAAUGACUAAAACGACAUCUGUCAUGGAAAUCCCUGCAAUUUUACAAGAGAAUAAGAAAGGCUAUUUUAAACGGUGCUUAGUCACGUUGCAUUUUUUUGGUAGUAAUGUCCAAACUUUCCUGUCCCGGUGGCAGAACCCAUGAGCAUGACCUCCACAGGACUCUGGGGGAACGGGGGUGGGCAAGUUCCAAAAAUACCGCUCACAGCUCACAAAUGACGGCUGGUCAACUCACAUUUGACUGUGAAAGCCACAGUGCAGGAGCGAGGACGGACUAAAAUGUCUACAGGAGAAGGUAGGGUGUUGUGUUCUAGAAACCCUGGCAGCUGUGGGUGAGCACAGAAUUUUCUAAUGAGUAAGACUGAAAUCAGUGAAAAUGCCUCAGCAUUAAAGGGAAAAAUAACUUAUCUGCUGUCUAACCACGGAGCUCAGGCAUCUAAGAAAAGCCUAAAUAAUUCACGAAAACUGUGCCCAAAUAGACAAAAGGAGCUCACUGCUUCUUGCAGAAUAUUUAAACCUGACUCAACUUUGGGGUUUUAAUCCAAAUAUCUUAAGUUCACAUUUCAUUGCUGGAACAUUCCAUGUUGUAUCAGGAGCUGACUUAGGUGGGUGAAGUUCUUAACC
rnacentral:lncRNA from 1 species